rnacentral:rRNA from 1 species
CACGGAGUUAGCCGAUGCUUAUUCAUACAGUACAUGCAAUAAGUUACACGUAACUCUUUUUAUUCCUGUAUAAAAGAAGUUUACAACCCAUAAGGCAGUCUUCCUUCACGCGAUUUGGCUGGUUCAGGCUCUCGCCCAUUGACCAAUAUUCCUCACUGCUGCCUCCCGUAGGAGUCUGGUCCGUGUCUCAGUUCCAGUGUGGGGGACAAACCUCUCAGUUCCCCUAUCCAUCGUUGCUUUGGUGAGCCGUUACCUCACCAACUGGCUAAUGGAACGCAUGCCCAUCUAUAACCGAUAAAUCUUUAACAAAUAUCUCCAUGCGGAGCCCCUGUUUUAUGCGGUAUUAGUCCGAAUUUCUCCGGGUUAUUCCCCUGUUAUAGGUAGGUUGCAUACGCGUUACUCACCCGUGCGCCGGUCGCCAUCAAAGUAUUGCUACCCUAUGCUGCCCCUGACUUGCAUGUGUUAGGCCUAUCGCUAGCGUUCAUCCUGAGCCAGGA